GCUCGCUUUGGCAGCCAUCCACUAAGACUGGAACAGUCCAGACAUUAGCAUGGCCUCUGUGCAAGGAUGACAUGCAAAUUCAUGAAGUUCCAUAUUUUA
rnacentral:snRNA from 1 species